AUUGAACGCUGGCGGCAGGCCUAACACAUGCAAGUCGAGCGGCAGCGGAAAGUAGCUUGCUACUUUGCCGGCGAGCGGCGGACGGGUGAGUAAUGUCUGGGAAACUGCCUGAUGGAGGGGGAUAACUACUGGAAACGGUAGCUAAUACCGCAUGACCUCAAAAGAGCAAAGUGGGGGAUCUUCGGACCUCACGCCAUCGGAUGUGCCCAGAUGGGAUUAGCUAGUAGGUGAGGUAAUGGCUCACCUAGGCGACGAUCCCUAGCUGGUCUGAGAGGAUGACCAGCCACACUGGAACUGAGACACGGUCCAGACUCCUACGGGAGGCAGCAGUGGGGAAUAUUGCACAAUGGGCGCAAGCCUGAUGCAGCCAUGCCGCGUGUGUGAAGAAGGCCUUAGGGUUGUAAAGCACUUUCAGCGAGGAGGAAGGCACCAUACUUAAUACGUGUGGUGAUUGACGUUACUCGCAGAAGAAGCACCGGCUAACUCCGUGCCAGCAGCCGCGGUAAUACGGAGGGUGCAAGCGUUAAUCGGAAUUACUGGGCGUAAAGCGCACGCAGGCGGUUUGUUAAGUCAGAUGUGAAAUCCCCGCGCUUAACGUGGGAACUGCAUUUGAAACUGGCAAGCUAGAGUCUUGUAGAGGGGGGUAGAAUUCCAGGUGUAGCGGUGAAAUGCGUAGAGAUCUGGAGGAAUACCGGUGGCGAAGGCGGCCCCCUGGACAAAGACUGACGCUCAGGUGCGAAAGCGUGGGGAGCAAACAGG
rnacentral:rRNA from 1 species